rnacentral:rRNA from 1 species
CAAUAGCGUAUAUUAAAGUUGUUGCAGUUAAAAAGCUCGUAGUUGGAUUUCUGGUGGGAGCGAUCGGUCUGGCGCUUAGCGCGAGUCCUUGCAUCGUCUCCGGCCAUCCUUGGGGAGAGUCUGUCUGGCAUUAGGUUGUCGGGCAGAGGAUCCUCAUCGUUUACUGUGAAAAAAUUAGAGUGUUCAAAGCAGGCUUAUGCCGUUGAAUAUAUUAGCAUGGAAUAAUAAGAUAGGACUUUGGUACUAUUUUGUUGGUUUGCGCACCAAAGUAAUGAUUAAUAGGGACAGUUGGGGGUAUUCGUAUUCCGUUGUCAGAGGUGAAAUUCUUGGAUUUACGGAAGACGAACUACUGCGAAAGCAUUUACCAAGGAUGUUUUCAUUAA